rnacentral:tRNA from 1 species
GCGGGAAUAGCUCAGUGGUAGAGCACCUCCUUGCCAAGGAGGGGGUCGGGGGUUCAAGUCCCCUUUCCCGCU